UUUUCAAUACCUCUCCAAAUAUGUACUUGAGAAUAAAAAACAUGCACUCGUCUAAUAGAUAGGCCUCGACCCUCCAACCUAUGAAUAUUCAUUAGUGGUCUUGUCUCAGCGUGAAGCAGGCCUUGGGUGCCGCCUUCGGGUGGCUGCCCUUGGUCAUUGAGGAUCGUUCCUUCUCCCUUACGGGGGAGUUGGAGGGAGAGAUCGCAUUCAGAGUGGU